GAUGAACGCUGGCGGCAUGCCUAAAACAUGCAAGUCGAGCGGUAAGGCCCCUUCGGGGGUACACGAGCGGCGGACGGGGUGAGUAACGCGUGGGAAUCUACCCAAACUGAGGGAUAAGCAUUGGAAACGAUGUCUAAUACCACAUAUGGUCUUCGGAUUAAAGCUUCGGCGGUUUGGGAAGAGCCCGCGUAAGAUUAGCUAGUUGGUGAGGUAAAGGCUCACCAAGGCGACGAUCUUUAACUGGUUUGAGAGGAUGAUCAGUCACACUGGAACUGAGACACGGUCCGGACUCCUACGGGAGGCAGCAGUUAGGAAUUUUCCACAAUGGGCGAAAGCCUGAUGGAGCAAUGCCGCGUGCAGGAUGAAGGCCUUAGGGUUGUAAACUGCUUUUAUACGUGAAGAAUAUGACGGUAACGUAUGAAUAAGGAUCGGCUAACUCCGUGCCAGCAGCCGCGGUAAU
rnacentral:rRNA from 1 species